UGCGAAUCUACCUUAUCUUUCCCUCACUCAUCUUUCUCGCUCCCGUUCGUUGCAGCCGCCAGGCACCGCCGCCCGCCGCGCCCCCACGCCCGCCUGCUGGUGCCCCCGCCGCGCCCCUCCCCGCACCGCCGGCACGCCCGCUUCGCCCCAGCCCGCAGACACCCCCGCCCGCGACGAGCUGUGCUGCUGGUGGCGGUGGAGCGCAGUGAGGAUGAGGCGCGCGUCGCGCCUGGUGGCCGGGUCAUGGAGGCGCGCCAGCAGAGCCCUGAGCUCGCCGUAGGCGGCAUCGCCAGAGGGCUCGCACCGCUGCAGGGACUCCUUGACGAUGCUGCCGUCGUCAUCCGCCUCCACGCCCACGCUGCCCAUCUGAUUCCGAUCUGAUUCCAGUCGCUGAGGUCCGCCGGAGCUAGCUAGAGCCUAUAGCUUGGCUUCUUGUUUGCUUCUUCCAGCCUGUACGCAAGGUACGGUGGUGCAGUACACGCCAUGUAUGUAGUUUUGCUUUAUAGACGCCACAGACAUAGUCGACGACGACCUUUGUGCUAGCUAGCUAGCUCUCGUCAGUCGUCAUAUUUACAUUUAGUAUUUUUUCCAUAAUAUACUCACAGCAAAUUUCGAGUGAAUCCAUAAUUUGGAACCGACAAAUAGAUGUGUGCAUGAUUUAGGUCGUCGGAUUUAAUUUAACUUGACUUUAAACAACCAAAUUAAAAUAAGCAAGUGGUGGUCGACUGCUCACCCUAACCAAGGGACAAUUAUUAUCUAAUGUGCCUCCGUCCAUUAAAAUAUGUUUAAAGUUUGACUAGGUUUAUAAAGCCUAGUUAAAUUUAACUAAGAAUUCUUCCGAGAGAGGUUGCAUAGUGCAACGCUCAACGUGGGUCGUUUGGCUUUUGUGAUUAAGAUAACUAGUGGACUAAUGAUCACUAUCAAAGUGAACGUUGCUACAUUUUUCAUUUUUACUUAAGUAUGAAGUAUAAAAUACAAAGACAUAUGUACCAUGUUGGCUAGGUGGUUGCGAGUGUGGAUUUAGAGCCAACAACCAUAGUUUGACACUACACAAAAAACAUACACUUCCUACGGUUGCGAGUGUGCUGAUUGUUUUGAAAUGUUUGGUAGGUUCUGUUUAUAUGGAUUUUUGUAUAUAAGAUUGCAUUGUUCUUUCGUAUGAGGCUGCAUAUGACGAGACGAUGUCUAGUCAGCACGGACCAGACUAUGACUGGAGGACCUCACCUAUUGAUCCUCAGGUUGUGUAUGCAAGUGGUGGAAAAGGUCAUGGAAG
rnacentral:lncRNA from 1 species